rnacentral:tRNA from 1 species
GGGGCUGUAGCUCAGCUGGGAGAGCGCUUGAAUCGCACUCAAGAGGUCGGGGGUUCGAAUCCCCCAAGCUCCA